UACGAAGGGGGCUAGCGUUGCUCGGAAUCACUGGGCGUAAAGGGUGCGUAGGCGGGUCUUUAAGUCAGGGGUGAAAUCCUGGAGCUCAACUCCAGAACUGCCUUUGAUACUGAGGAUCUUGAGUACGGGAGAGGUGAGUGGAACUGCGAGUGUAGAGGUGAAAUUCGUGGAUAUUCGCAAGAACACCAGUGGCGAAGGCGGCUCACUGGCCCGUAACUGACGCUGAGGCACGAAAGCGUGGGGAGCAAACAGG
rnacentral:rRNA from 1 species